rnacentral:rRNA from 1 species
GACGAACGCUGGCGGCGUGCCUAAACAUGCAAGUCGAGCGGGGUUGAAGCGAGAGGUAACUCGAACUUCUACCUAGCGGCGGACGGUGAGUAACGCGUGGGCAACCUGCCUCAAGGUCUGGGAUAACAGCCCGAAAGGGCUGCUAAUACUGGGUAUGCUUGUGGCCUCGCAUGGGGCUAUGAGCAAAGGGGAAACCCGCCUUGAGAUGGGCCCGCGUCCCAUCAGCUAGUUGGUGAGGUAACAGCUCACCAAGGCGACGACGGGUAGCCGGCCUGAGAGGGUGACCGGCCACACUGGGACUGAGACACGGCCCAGACUCCUACGGGGGGCAGCAGUGGGGGAUCUUGCACAAUGGGCGAAAGCCUGAUGCAGCGACGCCGCGUGAGCGAAGAAGGCCUUCGGGUUGUAAAGCUCUGUCUGGAGGGACGAAGGAAGUGACGGUACCUCCGGAGGAAGCCACGGCUAACUACGUG